rnacentral:lncRNA from 1 species
ACAGAUGAAGUAUUAGCAUUGGAAGCCAAUGAUUUCAGGAAGAGAGAGACAGGAUCACCGAAGUCGAAAUCAUGAAGCAACGCCUUCCUUCGUCAGAGUCAUGAAAGAAGACAUUGAGAAGAGCUCACUGGCCGUUGUCUUGUCUGGAAGAUCAACAAAGGAAGGAGACAGAAAAAUCCAAGAAUCUGAACGUCAAGAAAUAAGCUAAAACUCUUCACAUGACUAUAAUAUAUAAACUACCGAUUGAAGUAUAAUAGAUGAAG